rnacentral:lncRNA from 1 species
AAUUAAUAAUUAGACUUAUAAAACUAUAUAAAAAUAUUAAAAAAUAAAAUUUAUUAUAAAAAUAUUUUAGAUCCGCAGCAUCGCGCGGGUAUUUUACUAGUAAUACAUUAAUGGGCUCGUUUGUCAUGUGUUACGAAUAAUAAAGAUAAUAAUAUCUUAGAAAAUAAAAAGGGAAAACUUCAAAAACCCCCUGUGGUUUCAUAUUUUUUUUUAUUUUAGUACUUUGUAGUUUAAAGUGUGUCAAAUUGGUACCAUGUGGUUUCUCACUUUAUCACUUUAGUAUCCUGUGGUUUAAAGUGUAUCAAGUUAGUAUUCCGUGGUUUUAUUUUUGUAUCAAGUUAGUACCCUGUAGUUUUAUUUUUGUAUCAAGUUAGUACCCUGUGGAUUUUAAACCACAUGGUACUAAAGUGAUAAAGUGCGAAACCAUAGGGUACUAAAGUGAUAAAGUGUGAAACUAUAGGGUACUAACUUGAUACACUUUAAACCACAGAGUACUAAAGUGAAAAAGUACAAAACCACAGCGUACUAACUUGAUACACUUUAAACCAUAGGGUACUAAAGUAAGAAAAAAUGAAACGACAAGGAGGGUAUUUGAAGUUUUCCCAAAAUAAAAUUAUAUAAAAAAUGCUAACUAUUUUAUACUAGUAAUUU